UACGGGGGAGCAAGCGUUGUUCGGAUUUACUGGGCGUAAAGGGCGCGUAGGCGGCGUGACAAGUCACUUGUGAAAUCUCCGGCUUAACCCGGAGCGGCCAAGUGAUACUGUCGUGCUAGAGUGCGGAAGGGGCUACUGGAAUUCUCGGUGUAGCGGUGAAAUGCGUAGAUAUCGAGAGGAACACCUGCGGCGAAGGCGGGUAGCUGGGCCGACACUGACGCUGAGGCGCGAAAGCCAGGGGAGCGAACGGG
rnacentral:rRNA from 1 species